rnacentral:rRNA from 1 species
AUUGAUUUUAUGCUUGCAUAAAUGAUUUUUGGAUUCGGAGCGAGUGGCGAACUGGUGAGUAACACGUGGGUAACCUGCCCCGAAGCGGGGGAUAACAUUUGGAAACAAGUGCUAAUACCGCAUAAUUAGUUGGAACCGCAUGGUUCCAACUUGAAAGAUGGCUCUGCUAUCACUUUGGGAUGGACCCGCGCCGUAUUAGUUAGUUGGUGAGAUAAAAGCCCACCAAGACGAUGAUACGCAGCCGACCUGAGAGGGUAAUCGGCCACAUUGGGACUGAGACACGGCCCAGACUCCUACGGGAGGCAGCAGUAGGGAAUCUUCCACAAUGGACGAAAGUCUGAUGGAGCAACGCCGCGUGAGUGAUGAAGGUUUUCGGAUCGUAAAACUCUGUUGUUAAAGAAGAACAAGUGUUAGAGUAACUGUUAACACUUUGACGGUAUUUAACCAGAAAGCCACGGCUAACUACGUGCCAGCAGCCGCGGUAAUACGUAGGUGGCAAGCGUUGUCCGGAUUUAUUGGGCGUAAAGCGAGCGCAGGCGGUUUUGUAAGUCUGCUGUGAAAGCCCUCAGCUCAACUGAGGAAGUGCAGUGGAAACUACAAAACUUGAGUACAGAAGAGGAAAGUGGAACUCCAUGUGUAGCGGUGAAAUGCGUAGAUAUAUGGAAGAACACCAGUGGCGAAGGCGGCUUUCUGGUCUGUUACUGACGCUGAGGCUCGAAAGCAUGGGUAGCGAACAGGAUUAGAUACCCUGGUAGUCCAUGCCGUAAACGAUGAAUACUAGGUGUUGGAGGGUUUCCGCCCUUCAGUGCCGCAGCUAACGCAUUAAGUAUUCCGCCUGGGGAGUACGACCGCAAGGUUGAAACUCAAAGGAAUUGACGGGGGCCCGCACAAGUGGUGGAGCAUGUGGUUUAAUUCGAUGCUACGCGAAGAACCUUACCAGCUCUUGACAUCUUCUGCCAACCCAAGAGAUUGGGCGUUCCCUUCGGGGACAGAAUGACAGGUGGUGCAUGGUUGUCGUCAGCUCGUGUCGUGAGAUGUUGGGUUAAGUCCCGCAACGAGCGCAACCCUUAUUAUUAGUUGCCAGCAUUUAGUUGGGCACUCUAGUGAGACUGCCGGUGAUAAA